rnacentral:rRNA from 1 species
UACGUAGGGGGGCAAGCGUUGUCCGGAUUUAUUGGGCGUAAAGAGCUCGUAGGUGGUUCGGUAAGUCGGAUGUGAAAUCUCCAGGCUCAACCUGGAGGGGUCAUUCGAUACUGCCGUGACUAGAGGUCGGUAGGGGGAGUGUGGAAUUCCUGGUGGAGCGGUGAAAUGCGCAGAUAUCAGGAGGAACACCCGUAGCGAAGGCGGCAC